ACUGCCCCUAGAGAUGCUGCAGGUGUGGCUGCUGUGUCACAUGUGUCUCAGGAGAUGGAAGAAAGGAAAGAAACUAUGUCUACACUCAGUGUUCUGAUGUGUGAACAUCUUAAUGAUUAGGAGCCUAAUAAU